ensembl:lncRNA
AUGGAUAUACGACAUUUUUUCUUGUCGUGCGGGAGUAGGUCUGCAAAUGAGCAACAGUCAGAAAAGUCAGUGCAAAAAGUGAAUGAAGUGGAGGCAGAGAAGAUUGAUGAAGGCACAUCAGAGAAAGGGCAAGAUCAUGAUCAAGUACAGGGACAGAGAGAGCAUGAAGAAGAGGAAGACAUGAGUCAGGAGAGAGAGGACAGACAUACAGAGAAACAAAUGUCAGAUGAAGCACAGACAGCAGCUGCACCUUUAGAUCAGUUUGACUUAGGUGAAAAGGACACAGGCCCAAAACAGGCAAAAUUACACUAUUAUCCCCAGGAGAACUUUGGCUUACAAAAAAGAUCAUUCCAGCCAAGCUGGUUUCAAACUUUUGCUUGGCUUGAGUACUCCCAGAAGACAGAUUCUGCCUACUGCUUUGCUUGCCGUGUCUUUGGUAAAAACUUGAAGCAUGAUGUAUUUGUGAGUAGUGGAUACAAUAGUAGUGUACAGUGAAUGAAUCAGGAGGUCUUCAUUGUAAAAAAAAAAAAAAAAUCAACAUUUCCUAUUUUCUAGUGGUCACAUCCAAUAAUUAUUUUUUUAUUACAGUGUUGUAUAUGGCUCAGUCAGUACUCCUACUCCCAUAUAUGAAAUACAGGGAAUACAGUGGAAUAGUGGAUUGCAGUAAGGUUAGUAGCAUACCACCCUACCCAAAUAGUCAAAUAAUAUUUUUUUAAUCAUACCCUUACUGGGGGCUGAGCCCCCCUAAAAUCAAAAUCCUAGAAUCGCCCCUGCACUCAGCCAUCGCACUGAAUCAGGUAAACUGGUUAUACAUUUAUGUUUCAGUAUAAUUACGCACGCUAUACCAGGGGCGGUUCUAAACCCUUCUUAGGUGGGUUUCAGCCCCCCAUCUGUCACCUUAGCCCCCCAAAACUAUCUUAACGAUCAGGCCAGUGCUGCUUUUUUCAUUCUCACGUGUUUUAAAUCUUGUCAGUUUAAAUAAUAAAGUAAUUUUAAGCCAUUUAAGCCCA